CUAUCAGACAGCUGAAAAUCUAAAUGGUGUAGAACGUGUAAAUGCUGAGCCAAAGAUACGCGAAUGACUUGCUGCGCUUCGGUUCGCAAUUAGAGAUCCUCCUUUCACUCUCCUCAGAUGUUCAGACCUGUCAGGAGCUAAUUAACUGCUUUGGCAGCGUGGAGAAGUGGCAACACAAUUCACAGCUUCCGAAUGGCUGCAAGGGAAAGCCAGUUUCCGCUUUGGCCAUGAUUGAGUAAAUGGGAUCAGACUUAUCUUCCCACCAUAAAGAACCAUCAAACUCUGCUAUUACACGAAGCAACUAUUUUCAUCAUUGAACAGCAGGCAGUGCUGGACUGUCAACUGUGAGAGAAGGAAAACCAUGAGGUAAGUGCUCCGCCUGCUUUGCCUUUCUGCCCGGGAGUGCUGUAUAAAUCGUGGGGUAGAUAGAUAACAACCAUGGAGAAAAAUGGUCCACCUGCUGAGGCAGAGAUUUGAGUUUAGGGGUGCCUAGGAGGCUGUAAUGUAGCCAUUGGAUCCAGGGAGGAGAAAGUUGUAUCCUUUUUAUGACUCAGCCUGGGAGUCAUGAAUAUCAUUUCUUUCACCAUCAGAGGACCACCCAGAUCCUAGGGAAGGAACAGAGGACCUGGCACCUGUGAGGAAAAUGUUCAUGGCACAUUGUAGGAAGAGCUCGUGAGAUGGGGACCUUGCUGUAGGCUUAUGGAAAGUACCACUUGCCAUAAUCUUAGCAAUUACUUUACAUGGGUAAUGGACUCAAGAUUUUGUCUAAGGUCUGGCUCCCCAGGCAAUUUUAUAUAAUAAUCCAGGAACACUUAAUAAACAUUUUUCUUUAUUUGGGGCAUUGAUUUCAUUCACCCUUAGAGUUCAUGGAGAAAGGCAGAAAAUAGAAGGAAUUGAACUCCUCCUUUCCAUGCUCCAGGCUGCCUCUCGUGAGUGGGUGCGACCAGUGCACACUCAACCACUGGAGCAGCCAUAGAGCUUCAUCUAAAUCGAGAAGGGCUGGCCUUUCUCUCACAUUCCUUCUUCUAUAUACUUUGCCUUUGGACCCAAACAUUACCGGAAAGGCAAGAUUCUCGACUGCGUGGGGCUUGUCAUUUAUUUUCUUUAAUCAUUAUACUUAACCUUCAGUGACUCUUCUCUUUAAUGAUUAUACUUAACCUUCAGGGAGUUGUAUUUUUCUUGUCCUUGGAGAAAAGACAGUGAAAGGGAAAGUGCCAGCAUGGCUUAAGUCACAAAAAGGCUUUGUUAAUUCACCUGUGCACACCUUCCAAUUUAAUUUGUGUUUUCCUGGAUAUUAACUUUUAAAAGCCAGGACGUAUAGACACUUAAAUAGCAUAAAGCUGUUAGUUUAAUAUUUAAAUGGUAACAUAAUAUACAAAGAGGACAAAAGCAGAGGACACAAUGUUUAGAUUUUGGCUGGGCUCCUAGUAGCUGUGAGACUCCGCAUGGGUCACGGACGUUCCCUGGGGUGCCAGCUACUUAAACUUAACUGCGAGCAUCAGACCAGAUCGUUUCUAAGGCCUGCUUUUCUAAUGACAGUCUAUAGAACACCCUAAUUCUUUUAGUAGUGUAUCAACCAGUUUGAAUUUUGUGUGACUUCAAAGGCUUUUUUUUUUUUAAAGUACACUUUUUUUUUUUUCCUUUUGCAGGUAGAUUUUCAAUUUCUAUGAUUUUUCCAUGGGUGUCCAUAAAAAUAUAACUUUUGUUCUGUUUAGCACAAACUUGAUCUAACUGUCCUUUAUCAGGAAUGUAUAAAUACACAAGGUGGUGUUCUGUGGGCUCAAUCUAGUCUGCUUCCUUUUUUUUUUUGUCAGUAAAGUUUUAUUGGCACACAGACACACCUGUUAGUUUAUAUAAUGUCUAUGAUGGUUCUUGCGCUACAGUGGCAGAGGUGAGUGCUUGAGACAGAAAUUUUAGAGCUACAAAGCUUCAAAUAAUCACUUUCUGGCUUUUUACAGAAAAAGUUUGCAUGUCUCUCUUCUAGGACAAAAGAUGUCAAACCCAAAAAUGAAAGUAAAAGUCUUCAGAAAUUCUUAUCCUUAGUUUGAAAGAUCUCUGGUUGAAUCUGGAUACCUCAAGAGGUUUCUCACAAUCUUAAGCAGAUUUCAAAAGUAAAUUUACAUUAAUAAACAUUUUUAAAGUGUGUCAUAGUAAUAGGAAGGAGUUUGAAGUCCUGAGAUACAGAUUAAGUUUGUCCCUAACUUAAAAUGGCACUUCUGGUGACUUACUGAGGUUAUCCAGACCAUUUUUCUUUAUCACAUCAUUUUCCUUAUGCUCCUGCUAAUCUAUACAUUACUCUUCAUAAGGUGUAAAAACUAGCUAAGGCUUUCAAUGCCCACCAAUAUCAUCAAUGGCUCAAAUUAAUCACAGUAACAACAACAAUAAAAAGAACUGUCUUCAAACUAAGGACAGUAAUGCAUCAUAAUACACAACUUUCCUGGUUUCUGUGAUUCAUUAAGAAAGUGACUUUACAGAUUAAGUAAAAAUCUUUAAGGUAAAAAUUACUACAUUAUCCUAAUAUAAUUUUAUAGCUUUAGUUUUUUAUUUGAAAGCCUAUGGCAUUCUUCAUGAAUUGAAAAUUGUAUCGGGGCUCUGGGGUAGAACUGCAAAAGAGGGACCGAAAAAUAUAGGUCCCCAAAAUAGGAUAUAAUUGCCACAUGGAACACCACAUAGACAGAAAUUCAUCAGCAGUAUAAAUGCAAAGAAUACUGAAAUUAAAAUUACAUUACUUUAGAUCUCCCAGAGAUCCUGUUUUAAGAGACUCUGAUACCCUUUCAUCUCCUUUUUCAGAGAUACUCAGCCAAAGUCAUGUCAAUGCAUUAUUGACAUGAAGCAGCUCCAGCAUGCAAGGACCACAUGGACAGUGAUAAUAAUUUCAUGUGGUCCAUGCAGAAAAUGAGUAACCUUAAUGUGGCUCAUUGAAAGUUUGGAUAAACACUAGUUUAAUUCACUCUGACCAUACUGUGAGAUACAACAUCAGCAAGGAAUAAAUGGGCUUGGUGGGGGGCAAUGUGAAGGUAAUUUUCUACUUUAAACUAUACAUGUAUUUUUAGGUGUUUUUAAUGCCUAACAGUUACUCCUGCAGAGAACAUAAUCUGCCACUAUAAAUCAUUUGCACUUGACCUGAAGGAUAGGAAUUAAAAAGAACUUUAAUAUGUAUCAAAGCCAAAUGUUACACUUAUGAUACAACUAAAUGAAUAUAAGCUGUAGCUACCUCUAAUAUAAAUGGACAAUUCAGACCUAAAAGCCAUAGCAUAGGGCUGUGUGUGAUAAAUAGACCAUCCGAACAGUCCUAAGUGCUCCAUUAGGUUUAAAAAUUUUGUACCUUCCCUAUUUGUUAAUGUUUCUAAUCAAAUACAGACACAAAUUGGAACACAGCAGGCCAACUGGAACAAUCAUUCAGGAAAUCAGGCCUGUAUUUAACUAUUUAGCAGACUCUGGAUUGUUUCUAGACUUGGUUUUUAU
rnacentral:lncRNA from 9 species